GUCUAUGGCUAUAAUACCCUGAUCUUGUCUGAUCUCAGGAGAUGAGCAGGGUCAGGCCUGGUUAGUACCAUUGGAGUGGAACUGGGGCCUAAGACU
rnacentral:rRNA from 1 species